CGUUAUUGAGUAGUAGGGACGGCGGACAGAACUGAAGGGGAAACUGGGGUGGCAGACGUAUGUGGAUGUACAGUUGUGGACGUGUAGUACACUGUCGAUGGAUGCAAAGAUUGAUCUGCUUUGAUUAGCUGGGCAAUUAUUUUGUGCUGGAGCUUUGUUUCACGAUUUUUUUGGUGUUCUAGGCUGACUUUUGGGAUGAUUUAUUCUUUGUCUUUUUCUUCCAAAAUGGCUGCAUGUUUUGCUUUCUUCUACCCAGUAACUAGUCUGAAGGGCGCCACUCCUGUGCCGACUGCCAGCUGCAUGUAACUGAUAGGCUAUACAAAUUACUAUAUAGCGAUGCAGGAUUGAUCUCGUAAAUAUAAGAUUUUCAUGGGGUUUUUUCGUCCAAAAAAUCGUUCUUUGCAAAUUUUGGAUAAAUAGUCUGUUUCUUCGAGUCAUUUGAGGCUCUUUAAGUUUAUUUGGUGUUUUUUAAGAUGAGCGUGCAGAUGUAUUAAAACUUCAUUAGGCACAGGAUGAACUGGCACAGACAGAACAGCUGGAGAUGGUGGAAGGUGAUGAGGGCACAAGCAACUAGUGUAGAAAAGCCAGUGGUGGAUAAUUCAAAGGAAGGAUUUCCUGAACGGCCUCUUCCAAAAAGAAAAUGAUAAAUAAAACUGAGGACGUGAAAUGGUUUUCAAAAAAACUCCAUAAAAGCAAUGCAAUCCUCUUUUAAAAACAGGAUAAAUGUUUAUAUGGAAAAGUAUGUGGUAGCCUUAAAAUGUGGAUUGCAUUCUGAGACACUGAACAGCUGUAUGAAAUUACUAUUUAAUAUAAAUGUAUUGUCAAUUUAUUUAAGAUUAUAUUUAACCUACUAGACUUAUGCUGUUAAAGUCCCUGUUUUCAAAAAUGCAAACUUGUCAUGUUUCUGCUUUUAAUAAAGGUCUAGUGUAGGACUAAGAGAAGUAAAGGACCAAUGAAUGAAAUGGGUAGUGACUGUUGUGUGAUAGAAACCAAUAGAUAGUGUAAAACAGAGCUGGGCAUGCAUGCAAACUUGUGUGCCUAUUUGAUAAAGGGCUAGAUAGCAAUAUUCACAAAGUAAUGCAUAGGAAACAGAAGAUUUGUUGAAUGAAGUUUGGUAAACUUGAAAUGUAAAACAUGUACACAUCUAACUGUUGUAACUUUAAAAUAUGUAAUUACAAAACAAAUUACUGUUUUGUUGACAUUUGUACAGACUGGCAUGUUUCUAGUGCUUUUGAAAGGACUAGCUUCCUACAGCUCAGCUAGUCUGCAAGAGAAUGGAGUUGCUGUGUCUGGAUACCAUGAUUUAAAAACAUGUUGCAGCAUCUGAAGUAUCUGGGUAUAUAGGAACAUAAGAAUAGAACAAAGGUUGCAGGCAGAAAAUCGAAUCUGAUUUAUAAUGGCUGUUCUGCUAAAUAGUUUGAAUGACAAACCCGAACAAGGCUUGCACAACUUUGUAUAGAGUACCAGUUCUGAUUUUGUAAAAUAAGUAAAAUAUGUAGAAGGAAGGAGGGAAAAUGUGUUUUCAAAAGAAAUCUGGGUUGAGACAAAUGUAAUCGGUGCAAGAAAAGUGAAAGCAGGCGAGGACCAGUUUGUAAUAAACAGAUAAUGUAAGUUUAAAUGAAGUAAUUUUUAUUAUGGCACAAAUUGCUUUUCUCAUGUGGACAUAAGGGAGCCUAAGAAAAUUAGAAGGUAUUUAUGUAUAUUUACAAUAGUAAUGCACAAGUAAUAAUGCUACAGGAAACAGACCUGGAAAAUGAAGAAUGAAAGCCUUUGUGAAAAAAGUGAUGUUUGCUGGAAUAAGACAAGUGAAAUAAAGGGAUCUUAAUAUUAAAAGGGUAUAUAUUUAACAAUUGAACACAUGCAAGACAGAUGUGUAGUGUUGAAGUUGCUGAGGGGUGUAAAUUUAUACUAUGCUCCUAAUUCGCUCAAAAUUAGUGAGUAAAUAUGCAAGAAUUUAAUUUAUCAAGAAUGCAUCAAAGUAGCAGAAGAUUGGAACACUGUAGGAAAUGAUGCCUGUUGAGGGGGCAACAUACCUUAGUCUACUGACUAAGGGUAGAUAAUGCAGAGAAAUAUAGGCAUGCAAUAAAAUAAGAGAAAUGGAAUGUACAGUUUUCAGUGAAAUGUGGUUCCUGACUCUGAUUUCAAUGUUAAAUAUUGAAAUGAAUAUGAACCAUAAAAGUACAUCUGGAGAUUGUCAGACCUUGCACACAUGCAAUCAAGUUUUGCAGGCAUGUAAAUGUGUACUGUGGUGAUAAAUGGCAUUUUCCACUUCAUUUUUAAAAGUAAUCUUUUAAUGAUGCUAAAUCAAAUAUUAACUGAAAUGCUAUUAUAUUUGAACUUAAGCAGUAAAAACAUUGCAGAAAACUGGGAAUUAUAAACUGAAGGUAAGAGAUGUGGUCCCAAUGAAAGUAAAUUUUAUAUCAAAUAGCCACAGUAGGUAUCAGUUAAGCAUAUCAAAACAGGUUGAAGAAAAAUAUAAGUGUCUACAUAGUGAAAUAUAAGUGUCUACAUAGUAUUUGGAAAACAUGAAUGGACAUAAAGCUAUUGGUCUAAAAUAACUAGCAACAUUGUUGGCUCAAUGUUUGAGGCAUCAAAAGUUCAACAGGAUAAAUCUGGAAUUGUGAAUGGUAGGGUAGAAGUGUAUCCAGGAAGAAAUACUGAAUACAGUUAAUUAUAGAAUAGGAUUUAAAGAAGAUUUAUAGAUUGAGUAGCACACAGGAAAUGGCAAUGCAUAUAAGAAAAUUACAUUUUUGGGGGGGGGUUAGAAGUAGAAAGAGUAUUAAAAUAAAAGCAUUUGAAAUUUAAAGGAAGAAUGGGUAAUCAAAAUAUGGAUAAAUCCCCUGUUAGUGAUGGAAUUCCAAUAGAAGUGUUGGGGGGGAGGAACAGAGGUAAUAGAAGUCUGGCUAAUCCUUUUAAGCUAUUUAUUUCCUUUUUUCUAGGAAGGGAUAUAGCUUGAACUUGCAAAAAAGCAGUAAUGUUUGAUGUACCACAAAAGGAAAAAAAAAUCCAGUGUCAUACAGACCUAUUCAGUCUGAAUCAUCAUUACAAAGUGAAUGGCAAAGAUAUUGCCAGUGACAGACAUGGAUCAAUUGCUGUAGAUUUGUAGAAGGUAGGCAGAUGUUUGACAGUUCAUUUGCAAUGGACAAGGUAAUGUUAAUAGGUUUGGGUGCUGAAAACAGUGGACAAACUGAGUUGGAAUUUAUCAAGGGCUCUUUCCACAAACAGACAUUUGGGGUCCGAAUGGAGAGGUAAAUCAGCAAGCAACGAAGAGUAGUAUUGCUGGAAUUUAAUUCAUCCUAAAGUCUUGAGGUUCCUCAGGACCUUGUUUUUCACAUCUCACCAAGCAAACACUGGUCUGUAGACUAUUUUUAUAGCGUGUAUCCUAGAAGUAAGUUAGAAACAAGUAGACUGCUGGGUGCACAAAACCAAAGAUAAAGUAACCAGUCUUGGUAGGUGUAUUUUAUGGCAGGACUGGAGAAAUUGCUGUGGAGAAUCCUCAAGAUGUAACACUCCAAUGUGACCAGGCCUGGCACAGGAAGAGGGGGGUUCUGUUGAAGGAAGUAGCAGUCCACAAAUUACAACUGGUGUGCCAAAAAAGAGCCCUAAAGGUAGUGGACUGUUGAGGAUAAGUUAUGCAUUUUUCCUAUUAUGCAAGAAGCCCAGAAUUCCCAGGUGCAAGAUGUACAAAGAUUAGAGGAAAAAAUACUUUCACAAGAAAACUUGUCGGAAGCUUCACUUUAAA